rnacentral:rRNA from 1 species
GACGAACGCUGGCGGCGUGCCUAAUACAUGCAAGUAGAACGCACAGUUUAUACCGUAGCUUGCUACACCAUAGACUGUGAGUUGCGAACGGGUGAGUAACGCGUAGGUAACCUGCCUGGUAGCGGGGGAUAACUAUUGGAAACGAUAGCUAAUACCGCAUAAUAUUAAUUAUUGCAUGAUAAUUAAUUGAAAGGUGCAAUUGCACCACUACCAGAUGGACCUGCGUUGUAUUAGCUAGUAGGUGAGGUAACGGCUCACCUAGGCGACGAUACAUAGCCGACCUGAGAGGGUGAUCGGCCACACUGGGACUGAGACACGGCCCAGACUCCUACGGGAGGCAGCAGUAGGGAAUCUUCGGCAAUGGACGAAAGUCUGACCGAGCAACGCCGCGUGAGUGAAGAAGGUUUUCGGAUCGUAAAGCUCGGUUGUAAGAGAAGAACGGGUGUGAGAGUGGAAAGUUCACACUGUGACGGUAUCUGACCAGAAAGGGACGGCUAACUACGUG